ensembl:lncRNA
GAGUUGCAGCAAUGCGCCACUUGUCUCAAAACCUGAAAUACAUUCUAAUUCUCCCGACUCUCCCUCCCUCUGCCUCCUGUUGCCUUCAGCCAGAUGUGCCAGGCCUGCAUCAAAUGCCAUUCCGGGCCCCUGUCACCUGCCAGAGGGGAAAAGCACACGGCGACGCUCUCCCCUGUGAAAAGGUUGAAGGCAGACAGGAUAUCGGACCGAACGAUAGCAUCCUGCUGCUCACUGCGGCAUCGUCGAAUGGAACGAGCUGCCUGAUGUGUGAACCCGGGAGCAGCAGAAGAAGAACAGAAGAGGUGUACGGGGGGGAACCACGGCCUCCCCAGGGAUCAAUCUAAGGUUAGAUGUAUGCAAGUGAUCCCUUUUCAACAGGAUUACUCGAUUAAUCCUGCGACCCUUACCUUGACAUCCUUGUCACCAAAAAGAAGGGGUCGAAUAAGGUGCCGUGCACUAAAGACACACAGCGAGAGCAGCUCCC